rnacentral:rRNA from 1 species
UACGUAGGGUGCAAGCGUUGUCCGGAAUUAUUGGGCGUAAAGAGCUCGUAGGCGGUGUGUCGCGUCGGUCGUGAAAACUUGGGGCUUAACUCUGAGCUUGCGGUCGAUACGGGCAUCACUUGAGUUCGGCAGGGGAGACUGGAAUUCCUGGUGUAGCGGUGAAAUGCGCAGAUAUCAGGAGGAACACCGGUGGCGAAGGCGGCUCACUGGUCCGAUACUGACGCUGAGGUGCGAAAGCGUGGGGAGCAAACAGG